rnacentral:rRNA from 1 species
AGUGAACGCUGGCGGUAGGCCUAACACAUGCAAGUCGAACGGCAGCACAGUAAGAGCUUGCUCUUACGGGUGGCGAGUGGCGGACGGGUGAGGAAUACAUCGGAAUCUACUUUUUCGUGGGGGAUAACGUAGGGAAACUUACGCUAAUACCGCAUACGACCUACGGGUGAAAGCAGGGGAUCUUCGGACCUUGCGCGAUUGAAUGAGCCGAUGUCGGAUUAGCUAGUUGGCGGGGUAAAGGCCCACCACGGCGACGAUCCGUAGCUGGUCUGAGAGGAUGAUCAGCCACACUGGAACUGAGACACGGUCCAGACUCCUACGGGAGGCAGCAGUGGGGAAUAUUGGACAAUGGGCGCAAGCCUUAUCCAGCCAUACCGCGUGGGUGAAGAAGGCCUUCGGGUUGUAAAGCCCUUUUGUUGGGAAAGAAAAGCAGCAGGUUAAUACCCCGCUGUUCUGACGGUACCCAAAGAAUAAGCACCGGCUAACUUCGUG